AUUCCAAGCCUCUCUCAUCACAGAUGCAGGUUCAUCCCUCCUUCCUUUUGAGGAUUGGACUCCAGCUCCCUUCUCCUCUUCCGCUGCCCUGUGAGCAAUCUUUUAAGAUCUCACUCAAUUCAUGUCUUCUGUCACAAGUGCUUCUCACUCACAUCUUCAGAACAGAACAGAACAGAACAGCAUCUUGUUCCAGUUUGUUUUACAUGGUUUGACAAAGGAAGAAGGACAAGCAUUUCCUCUUUCCAUCUGUAAUUUCUCCGUAGCUCGCCUAAGCUGCCACUGACAGCCCAGGUCAAUGCCUUGGUUUCCUGGGGCUGCAAACUUCUCUUCCAGGAAUCCUAGCUUGGAUGCUGCUGCCAGGCAAGGAGAACUGGAAUGGCUUGCUGGCAUGAAUCUUAACCCAUCCCUCUUUUCUGGAGGGUACAAGAAUCCAGGAGAUUUCAUCUGCAGCUAAAUGAGAGGAGAAUCAAUACUUGAUUUUCACUUUCCUGCAUACAAAUCUCACUUAAAACAUUCUGUUUUGUCUCUGGUCCUAUUUUUCAUGGAGUCUUUUUUUUUUUCACUUUUAAUUUUGAAAAGCUACUUCAUAUCCCCCUCAGAAUUCAUACAAAUUCCUCCUGUUCAAUUUAAAAGCAAAAUCAAAUUGCUGGAAGUCACUCACAUAGGUAGAAAGGAAGAGAUAACGCUUUUGAGAAUGACUUGUAAAGGUAUUUAAAAAUAUAACACUUGUCCUCAUUUCUUUAAAAAUGUGAAACUUGAGGAUUUCUUCUGAGAAUGUUGAGGCUGUGAAUGGAUGGGUGGAUAGAUGUGUUUCCAUUAAGGGACUGGGAAACCAUCUGCAAUACCUGGCUUAGUCCUCCUAGGGGACAAAUAACAUUCUAGUAAUAACUCAGGUGAUUAGGGAAGCACAUACAUUCUUUCAAGAUGAAAAGUCACUCUUUACAGCACUAUUUGCUAACAGAUAUAAUUACUAUCUGCAAUUAACUGAUGAAAAACUAUGGGGAAGAAAGAGAAUGGAUGUGCAAGUGCCUAGCCCCACCCCAAGACAUAACUCUCAAUACAUGUUUACAUUAUGCAAAUCUUAAUUGGUAUUGAAAAGUCAAAGACAAAGGCGGAAACAAAACGCCUACUUGCUAAGCCAGUGAAAUUCAUUUCAUUAAGCAGCCUGGUUUUCCACAUCAAAAUAUAAAUGUGUCUUGCUCCAAUUAGUAGAUAUCAUGCAAAAACAAAAGAGUUCAAAAUAUUUGGAUAUAUACUUUUGUAAUUCCUUCAUGCAAUAAAUAUUUACUGAGCAGUUGUUAUGUGCAGGCAACGGAAGUAAAAAGAUGAAUGAGCUCAGGAUGCUAAGAAACUUGGAGUCUGAUAAGAGAUAAGGAAAAAUUUUUAAAGGCAGUUAUGGUAUAGGAGCAUGCAGGCAAGUCACCUAACCCAGUCUUGGAGGGUAGAAAAGGUUUGAAAGGAAGUGCUAUUGAAGCUGAAGCCUGAAGCUAGUCAGACAGGUUGCAAUAAUCUAGAAGAGGAAAGAAAACAGCGAGAGCAUAGGCAGGAGAAAUAGAGGAAAGUCAUCAAAUUAGAGAUUUAGGAGAGAAAAUCGACAGAAUUUUCUAAUGGCUAUUCCCUUGUGUGUUACAGAUUAUGAUACAGAAUAGAGAAGAGGAGCAAAUGCAAAGAUGAUUCCUUUGACAAGAUGAAAAACGGUACUCUAAUACACCUGCUUUGUAAGUCUCUAUUUUCACACAUAGCAGGCUUGUUUACAGCUGGCUAAAGAUCUGCUGCACAGCAGCACUGACCCCACUGCAUUCUUUCUACACCAAUAAAUUUCCUCUGCUGCCUCAUUCAGAUAGCCUAGCUGCUGUUUAGAGUGAAAUUCUUCCACCUUCAAGCAAGAAUCAGAGGUUCUUUCAGGCUUCACACAAUAAUAUGAUGAAGAGGCACGCUGAAGGUGAAUAAACACUAAUUUGUUUGCGUGUGAAUAAGGCAUCAUUUAUGUAGCAACUUCUACAGAUUGGGUACUGGAGAUUUUUCCAAAACGAAUAAUGCUCCUGCUUUUGAGCUUACAAUGUAGUAGGAAAGAUAAACAGAGUGUGAUAAGUGACAUCAUAAAGGCACAAACAAAUUCCUGUGAGCACAAAGUGGAAAGCCCCUGAGCUGGAAAAUAGCACUGAGGUGGUUUCAUGAAAGAGGAAGCAGCAAGGCUGGGCCUUGAAGAACGUGAAGGAGUCACCCAGCUAGAGAGGGCAGGAGGGUGUUCCACGAAGUACAAACAUCAUGAACAGAAAGUCAAAGAGUGAAAGUGAAGGGAGGAUUGGGGAGCAGUGAACAGACAAUGUGAGAGAGCUGCGGCACCAUGGAGAAGAGUAAUGAGAGGGACAUCCUGAAGGAAAGACAAUAUGAAGGACUGUCGAUGCCAAAGAAAGGACUUUCAGCCAUAUGCACGCAAUGGGGAGCAAUGCAAGAUUGUCAACCAAGAGACUGAGGUGACCAGAUCUGCUUCACAGCAGCAGCAGCAGCAGUGUACAUGGAAGAUUAGAGGACCGAGAGAGAUGCAUGUCAGGAAAAUCAGCUAACAGACUCUAAAAUAACUAAGACUUGAGAAAGAUCUGGAUCAAAGCUUUAACAGCAGCAAUAAAGAAAAAAGAAGAGACAUUUCUGUAAUCAGAUCUAGAAAAGUUGAUGACCCCCAGGAUAACAGCCAUGAAAGUGCUGCUACCACAAACAUGAGGAAACUUCUGUUAGGAGUUCAACCUUCAGAGAGGACAGCUGGCAGUGCAAGAUGGUGACAGCCCUGCAAUCAGGAGAAGAAAGUCAUGAGACCUGUUUCUCCAGGUUUCCCGCCUCCUUCCACCUUCUGUACAGGACACACCAGUUCCCUCAAGCCCAAAAUGUGAGCAGCUGUCAUUCUCUGCAUAGCCAAGCUCGGCAGUCUGCCGAAAGGGACAAGCCAGUCCCGCAAAGGAAUGAUGUAUGCCAAAAGAUACUGCAUUAGGAUCUUCAUUAACUGGAGGGCCAAUAAAUUUAUGAAAAUCAUGAA